CGGGACUGGCGGGGCUCGAACCC
rnacentral:tRNA from 1 species